UAGCAAGUAUUGGUUCAGUGAAUCAAAGGCAUAUCUAGCAUUUAUAACUGUUUUUAUGUUGCACAGGAUUUUCCCCAUAAGAGUUUAUUUUGAUGUUUCACAUGCAUGUUCUGAGCACCCCUAGUAGCAUAUGAGAUGAUUUUGGGCAAGACACCAACAUUUUUAUUUAACGUAUUGAUGUUUAAAUGUAUUUUGAAAACAUAACAAGCACAUCAGACACAUGACAGAGAUAAUUGCUUAAGUCAAGGCUAAAGUAGGUAUUUAAAUGAGGAAAAAGGGGACACGGUUGAUUUAAAUAAAAUGUUAAAUAAUAAUUCAGUCGUUUGAUGGGUAAAGGUAAAAAUCGCAAAGGGGAGUGAAGUUUGGGGAGCACUUGCUCAUCUGAUGGCGACAAGUUUUGGAGAACCCAUUUGAUCUGCUGACAUUGUCUCCAGGUGACAGAUGACAGAGUGGAGCAGGAAAACAGCACCAGAAUCGAAUCUCAGAAUGAAGGAUCAGAAAUCUGUCUUCUGGCUGGACACUGUAGAUUACACCUGUAAUCCCACCACUUUGGGAAGCCAAGGCAAGAGGAUCCUUGAGGCCAGGAACUGGACACCAGCCUGGGCAACAUAGUGAGACUCUGUCUCUAAAACAACACCACAAAAGGAAAUCUGUUUCCCUCUUGUGCUUCUGACAUUUGCCCGAAAAUUAGCAUUUUAGUGACUAAAAAAUUAGGAAAUGUUUUCACAGGAAUAGCUGUCAUGUAAUAUCUCUAAUACACACUAGCAUUUAUAGAGCCCUCUUGCUGUGCCAGAUACCAGCCCAACAGCUUCGCAUAAGAUUCUCACAACCACCCAUGCGGUAGGUACAGAUGAGGAAACUGAGGCACAGAGAGGUUAAGCCAUUUCCCUGAAGCACCACAGCCUCUGCUUCAGAGACAGGAUUUGACCCCAGGCAGUCUGGCUUGGGAGACUGCACUGUUACUCAAAACAGUUCAUAGCCUAUGUUGUAAGAUUAUAUAUUUUCUAUGGGACACACUUUAAUGACUUUCAUUAUUAAAUGGGAAAAAGAAUGCCACACGUAAGUUUUAUUUUUCCUGAGUUGAUCUUCAUGAAGAAAGAGGACUCACCACUGUUUCAUAUCAUUCUCCUUUACUGCAGUUCCUUCCCCUGCAAUUUCUCUGUUUGGCCUUAAUUUCCUUUUAGUCCUCAAGUGCCACGUAAACUAGGAUUGGAAGAGUUCAUGGAGAGGGCUUCCGUUCAGCUUCCCAGGUCCGGGACAGACUGCGGGCUCCUUGGAGCAAGGCUUUCAGGCUUGGCUGAGUAAACCGCACGCUCUAGAACUGCGCAUCUUCACUUUUACUUCCGGGGAGCUAAGAUCAGCUUGCACUUCUUCCGUGUCAGGAGCUGUGCAGAUGUUUCGCAGGUGUUCAUUUCAG
rnacentral:lncRNA from 13 species